rnacentral:tRNA from 3 species
AUAAUUUUAGUUUAAUAUAAAAUUUUUUUUUUACAAAAAAAAGAUUAAUAAUUUUUAUUAAAAUUAUA